rnacentral:sRNA from 1 species
CCGAAGACCAGGAAUAGGAGUAUAUCGAACUCCUAGUACUGCCCGAGGUAGCUUGUGGAUAGCAGAUAUCGUCAAGGAUUAUAGUCGGCUUUACUACUC